ACCGUGGUAUCACGUGCCAUGCUGAUGACAUGAUGGCAAAGUCCCAAGCAGGGAAGGGCAUCCGAUGAACUUGAUCAAGUUGUUUGACGGGUUGAGAUAACUCAUACUGAUGAGUUCGAGUGAGUGCACUUGUGGAGUGCUGUCCGGUAAGCUGCCGAGGUUUAUUGUGAGCGGAUAAGAGGAAUCGAGGUCGAUCCUGCUAAAAAAAAAAGAAGUGUAAGAAACGCCUGAA
rnacentral:lncRNA from 1 species